rnacentral:misc_RNA from 1 species
GUAUUUAGAAUUAUUUAUUCGAAAUAGCUUCAGACAAAAAAAUUUCAAUAAAGGGUUGGUAUUAUGCUGCCACGACGCGUGAACGACGCGACAGCAAACAUUGCACACAAGGUGAGUACUUGUUUAAAAAGUGCAGUAAAACACUUAUUAUGAAUGAUCCUUCCGCAGGUUCACCUACGGAAA